rnacentral:rRNA from 1 species
UUCUGGCUCAGGAUGAACGCUAGCUACAGGCUUAACACAUGCAAGUCGAGGGGCAGCAUUGGAGUAGCAAUACUCAGAUGGCGACCGGCGCACGGGUGAGUAACACGUAUCCAACCUGCCGCUUACUCGGGGAUAGCCUUUCGAAAGAAAGAUUAAUACCCGAUGGUAUAAAGAGUUCGCAUGUUCUCUUUAUUAAAGAAUUUCGGUAAGCGAUGGGGAUGCGUUCCAUUAGAUAGUUGGCGGGGUAACGGCCCACCAAGUCUACGAUGGAUAGGGGUUCUGAGAGGAAGGUCCCCCACAUUGGAACUGAGACACGGUCCAAACUCCUACGGGAGGCAGCAGUGAGGAAUAUUGGUCAAUGGACGAGAGUCUGAACCAGCCAAGUAGCGUGAAGGAUGACUGCCCUAUGGGUUGUAAACUUCUUUUAUAAGGGAAUAAAGUGAGGGACGUGUCCCUUUUUGUAUGUACCUUAUGAAUAAGGAUCGGCUAACUCCGUGCCAGCCGCUGC